AUUACUACAAAUAUCAUU
rnacentral:snRNA from 1 species